UAGGGAAUCUUCCGCAAUGGACGAAAGUCUGACGGAGCAACGCCGCGUGAGUGAUGAAGGUUUUCGGAUCGUAAAACUCUGUUGUCAGGGAAGAACAAGUACGAUAGUAACUGAUCGUACCUUGACGGUACCUGACCAGAAAGCCACGGCUAACUACGUGCCAGCAGCCGCGGUAAUACGUAGGUGGCAAGCGUUGUCCGGAAUUAUUGGGCGUAAAGCGCUCGCAGGCGGUUCUUUAAGUCUGAUGUGAAAUCUUGCGGCUCAACCGCAAACGUGCAUUGGAAACUGGAGGACUUGAGUGCAGAAGAGGAGAGUGGAAUUCCACGUGUAGCGGUGAAAUGCGUAGAGAUGUGGAGGAACACCAGUGGCGAAGGCGACUCUCUGGUCUGUAACUGACGCUGAGGAGCGAAAGCGUGGGGAGCGAACAGGAUUAGAUACCCUGGUAGUCCACGCCGUAAACGAUGAGUGCUAGGUGUUAGGGGGUUUCCGCCCCUUAGUGCUGAAGUUAACGCAUUAAGCACUCCGCCUGGGGAGUACGGCCGCAAGGCUG
rnacentral:rRNA from 1 species